AUUGCCCGACUGUGAAGCGAAUAUUGCCCAACUGGCUUUGUUUGCCCAACAAACUGGGGUUAUUAUUAAGAGAGAUUUUAUUGCUUUGACUACUUUUUGCCCGACUUUUGUCCGACUUUUGUUGAACAUUUGCCCGACUUUUGUUGAACAUUUGCCCGACUUUUCGACUUUGUUAUCUUUUUUUGGGGGGGGAGGGGCAGCUGCCCCCUGCCCCCCCCCGUCCUCCGUCCCGUACGCCUAUGACUGUAAACAUGUUAAAUUUCAGAUCCAUGCAUUUAUAGAAAAACUACCUUGCAUUAAUUAGAAAACUUACAAAAACCUAUAUAUAAGACAUUUAAACGGUUAUCUUGAUUGGAAUCGAAUCCUGGGCACUAGUCUGAAACACGUUUUCAAAAGCUCAUAACUCAAGAAGAACUUGAAAAAUCAGGGUAACCAUUUAAAUGUCUCGUAUGUGGGUUUUUAUGAGCUUUCUAAUGCUGCAAGUUAUUUUCCAUAAAUGGUCAUGAAAUUUCACGGUUUUAACAAUAUAUGAGUUAAAAUUUAAAUGAAGAAAAAGUGUUGGCAGAAGCCCACAGAAAAUUUGAACAAGAGUUAUAAACGCUGCUGGCAUACAGAAAUAUAUACUGUAUAUUCUAUACAUAAUAUAUACUGUACUUAAUAUAGCCUAAAGUCACAAGAUGAAGGCAAAAUGGAAUUGCCGCACGAUAUGGUGAGUUUUCAUUUAUUUUUGAUCCUCUAUCUGCCGGACUGGAACGCGUGGUUUAAACAAUAAAUUAGUACUAGCUGCUCAUUUCGUUUUUUUCAUGCUUUGGAAUUUAAAAUUUGCGAUUGAUGACGUGCAUGCGUUUGAUUUGUGAUUUGAUAUUAGUGAACUAAGCUUGAUUUAAGUUUAGUUUCAGAAGUAACAAUGUUUGGUAUGGUGAAUAUAUUGAGAUUAGUUCUACACAAGAUGGAAAACUUCAAUUUCGAUUGGCCUGAAGUGGUUGGUUCCUGCCAGGAUGGUGCUUGUGUCGCUGACACCAGAUGGAGCUUGGUAGGCGUUAUUAAAAUGUGUGCCUGAA